GGAUUAGAUACCCUGGUAGUCCACGCCGUAAACGAUGGAUACUAGAUGUUCGGAGUGUUAACCCUCUGAGUGUCGGAGCUAACGCAUUAAGUAUCCCGCCUGGGGAGUACGGUCGCAAGGCUAAAACUCAAAGGAAUUGACGGGGGCCCGCACAAGCGGUGGAGUAUGUGGUUUAAUUCGAAGCAACGCGCAGAACCUUACCUGGUCUUAACAUCCCAUGAUCGCUGCAGAGAUGUAGUUUCCCUUCGGGGCAUGGUGAUAGGUGCUGCAUGGCUGUCGUCAGCUCGUGUCG
rnacentral:rRNA from 1 species